GACGAACGCUGGCGGCGUGCCUAAUACAUGCAAGUAGGACGCAGUUGGGAACGGGUGAGUAACGCGUAGGUAACUACCUAUUAGAGGGGGAUAACUAUUGGAAACGAUAGCUAAUACCGCAUACUAGUAGAUUGACCUUCGUUGUAUUAGCUAGUAGGUAGGGUGAUGGCCUACCUAGGCAACGAUACAUAGCCGACCUGAGGAGGGGGUCCGCCAACCUGGGACCGAGAAACGGCCCAGAAUCCUACGGGAGGGAGCAGUAGGGAAUCUUCGGCAAUGGGGGGAACGCUGACCGAGCAAAGCCGGGGGAGUGAAGAAGGUUUUCGGAUCGUAAAGCUCUGUUGUUAAGGUAGCGGUACUUAACCAGAAAGGGACGGCUAACUACGUGCCAGCAGCCGCGGUAAUUC
rnacentral:rRNA from 1 species